rnacentral:rRNA from 1 species
AAAACGACUCUCGGCAACGGAUAUCUCGGCUCUCGCAUCGAUGAAGAACGUAGCGAAAUGCGAUACUUGGUGUGAAUUGCAGAAUCCCGUGAACCAUCGAGUCUUUGAACGCAAGUUGCGCCCUAAGCCGUUAGGCCGACGGCACGCCUGCCUGGGUGUCAC